rnacentral:rRNA from 1 species
CACGUAGGGUGCGAGCGUUGUCCGGAAUUAUUGGGCGUAAAGAGCUCGUAGGCGGUGUGUCGCGUCGGCCGUGAAAACCUGCAGCUUAACUGUGGGCUUGCGGUCGAUACGGGCAUCACUGGAGUUCGGCAGGGGAGACUGGAAUUCCUGGUGUAGCGGUGAAAUGCGCAGAUAUCAGGAGGAACACCGGUGGCGAAGGCGACUACCUGGCCUGUUCUUGACGCUGAGGCGCGAAAGCUAGGGGAGCAAACGGG